rnacentral:rRNA from 1 species
CCUACGGGAGGCAGCAGUGGGGAAUAUUUGGCACUGGGCGCACGCCUGACCCCGCAACGCCGCGUGAAGGAAGAAGGCUUUCGGGUUGUAAACUUCUUUUCUCAGGGACGAAGCAAGUGACGUUACCUGAGGAAUAAGCCACGGCUAACUACGUGCCAGCAGCCGCGGUAAGACGUAGGUGGCAAGCGUUCUCCGGAUUUACUGGGUGUAGAGGGCGUGUCGGCGGGAUUGCAAGUCAGAGUUGAAAACCAUGGGCUGAACCUAUGGCCUGCAUUUGAAACUGUAGUUCUUGAGGACUGGAGAGGCAGACGGAAUUCCUAGUGUAGCGGGGAAAUGCGUAGAUAUUAGGAGGAACACCAGUGGCGAAGGCGGUCUGCUGGACAGCAACUGACGCUGAGGCGCGAAAGCGUGGGGAGCAAACAGGAUUAGAUACCCUUGGAGUC